AUGACUAGGUGUAUCCAUCAGACAAGUCUGAGGAGUAAGCAAAGCCUGUUUCUCAAAGACCAAGGACAAGCUGAUGCUUCCGCCCAGGUGUCAUUAAAGUUGAUCGGCUAUUAAGCGGCCAUUCUUUGGCAAGGAAGGGGGCAGGAACAAAUCAGUCUGCACCUCAAACAGAGGAGAAGAAACAGUCAGAACCUCUUUCACCACCAGACUCUUUGUCGUCUUCUACUCAGCUGCACAGAACUUUGAGAGGGGCUGAUCUAUAAAAGUGAGGGACAAACACCCCCAGGUAUCUCCCUCCCCCACACGACUGAUGAAGAUUCAAGAAAUGGCCAUUGGAUUGGGGGGGCAUGGUCCUGACCCAAAAGACUUGGUGAGUGGUGUUGGAAGGAUGUGGUCAACCUUUACAUUGAAUUCAGUGUUAUUAGUUUGACUACUGGAUACAACUCUUCCUUAUAUUUAUUGCCCAUGCUUACACUUUUUAAAAAUCCUGUAUACUUUGGUUCAUAAACUUUUGUUGUUUAAUCCGAUCCAGUGUUUCUGUUGCCUGGAUAGCGGUAUUUAAAGUGACACAUUUUCAUGUAUUAUUCCCUUAAAACAGACCUAACAUCUCAGGCCCAGCCAGGAGAGGGCUGGGCAGUAGAGAGCCUACAAUUCUGGAGGAAAAUCCAGGACCGGGCUCCUGUGACACUCAGGGCAAGUCACUGGAGAGGGACUCUCAACCCACCUCCCCUUGAAAUCAGUCAGUGGCAGGCACCUGAACAGCUUGGCCUAGGAGGCUCCAUAUGAGAGCCAGAAUCCCCGGUGCCUGGAGGCUGAAGAGCCUUGUCAAAGAGGAGCAUACGAAGCCACAUCUUCCUGUCACGAUGAGACUGGGCAGUAAGUUUGGAGCAGUAGAGGAAUUUUUUAAGGAUAUGUGCCUCACCAAGAUAUCUGAUACAGGAGGAGUGCCCGUCUGAUGCAGGCAUGGUUUCGUGACAGGUGUCGCAUUUUUUAAAACGUGGUGACCCUGGCACAGUGAGGGGUCAGAGUAAGCAUCUUGGUUUUCUUGUUCUCUUUCCUCGCCUCUCCUUUAUUUUUUAUUUUAUUUUAUUUUUUUGGUAUGGCCGCAGUUCCAUUUAAUCUUCUUCAUCUUUUCUUCUUUUUUUUUAAUGACAAAAAAACUAGUACUAAGACAACUGUUAACUACUAAGUGUAAAAACUUUAAUUCUAACUAAAUAAGUGCAUUUCCCCGAGACAGGGUGCAGAGGAGUGAGGCAAAUUCCAUCUGUAGUUGAGGGCUCGA